GGUACCCUACGUCUAAUGGUGCGGAGAGAAGACAUUAAAUCACGGUCUAUUUUUGCCAGCCAAACGGAAAUUUAGUAUUCGAAAAGAUCGUUCUAAAUGAACAUCGAAACUUCCUAGUCAAAGACAUUGUUGUUCUGCAGCCUAUAUUGUGGCAUUUUUUUAAUGUUCUCUGCUCAGCUAGAUGUAAUAGAGGCCAUAGUGGCUCUAGUAUCUCAGUAAUGGAAGUAUGGUGCACAUGCAAAGAUAUUAUUGAUGGUGUAGUUGUUUUUCACAAACCCGGAAGUGAAAGUCUUCAGCUUUCAAAUUACUGUCGAACCCGGCUGCAACAACCUCUAGGAUGUUCAAGUGAGAACUUGAAAUAAUUCAGUGUGUUGGACUUCAGGGAAAGGAUUCCUUUUAUUUGGGGAACAACCAACGUGUGGCGAACUUGAAUACUGAUCACGAUGUCACCAGCCACUCUGGGCUCUUAUCAGGUGUGAUGUACUACUGAAAUAUAAUCGGUGAACGGGAAGAUAAAAUUCACAUUCCUUAAUAUAGAUAUCAGUAUUGUGAAUAUUGUAAAUUUUAAGAUAUUUGAAGUUGUAUCUGUUCUUUUUGCACAUAUGUGUCAGGGUUUUUUGAUAACAGAGGCAUAUCGCCAAUGACUGGACUACCCUGAUGUUUUAUUUGAGUUGAAAGAAAGAAUGUCAAACCCAAUUCUACAUUGCAUUAAAAAGUUCUAUUUUUCAUUA